UAGCUAGUUGGUGGGGUAAGGGCCUACCAAGGCGACGAUCGGUAGCUGGUCUGAGAGGAUGACCAGCCACACUGGAACUGAGACACGGUCCAGACUCCUACGGGANGCAGCAGUGGGGAAUAUUGGACAAUGGGGGCAACCCUGAUCCAGCAAUGCCGCGUGUGUGAAGAAGGCCUGAGGGUUGUAAAGCACUUUCAGUGGGGAGGAGGGUUGAUAGGUUAAGAGCUAAUUAACUGGACGUUACCCACAGAAGAAGCACCGGCUAACUCCGUGCCAGCAGCCGCGGUAAUACGGAGGGUGCGAGCGUUAAUCGGAAUUACUGGGCGUAAAGGGUGCGUAGGUGGUUGAUUAAGUUAUCUGUGAAAUUCCUGGGCUUAACCUGGGACGGUCAGAUAAUACUGGUUGACUCGAGUAUGGGAGAGGGUAGUGGAAUUUCCGGUGUAGCGGUGAAAUGCGUAGAGAUCGGAAGGAACACCAGUGGCGAAGGCGGCUACCUGGCCUAAUACUGACACUGAGGCACGAAAGCGUGGGGAGCAAACAGGAUUAGAUACCCUGGUAGUCCACGCUGUAAACGAUGUCAACUAGCUGUUGGUUAUAUGAAAAUAAUUAGUGGCGC
rnacentral:rRNA from 1 species